rnacentral:lncRNA from 1 species
CGAAGGCACCCGGAGCUCCUGUUGCCCCCGCGCGGUGUGAAGACAGCGAGUGACAUCCCCGCGCCGCUACCACCGGCUCGGGCCCGCGCGGAGACUACAGCUCCCGGCAGCCCCGCGCCGGCCCGCGCCCCCGCCCCUCGCGCGCCCCCGCCCCGCACGCCCCGGCCCCCCGCCCUCAGGCCUCAGGACGGGACAGGGAGGAGGAGAGAGGAAGGGGCCGCCAGCGGCGGGCGGGAUUCUGCGAGGCGCGUGAAGCCUCGCUGGCGCCUCGUCCGCGAUCCAGACGCUGGCGGGCGCGGAGUUUCUCACGACCGGCCGAGCCCGCCUCUCCUCGCUCGGAGUUGUUCUCACCCCCACCCCCGGGAGCUCGCUCUUAAGAUGAAACACUGAGGAGUGCGACUGUUUCUUUGAGCAAUACAAAUAACCACAUACUACUCGGUUGCCUGUUGGAUAUUUUAUUUGAAGUCAUCGCGAUCAGAAGCAUGGGCCUUGCACUCUGCAGGUUCAAAAGCCAUUUGCUUUCAUAAUCUGUUCUCAGAUUUGCCUAAGGAUUAAUAGGUUUGUAUGUCUGUAGUUCCUGAAAACUGCUUCAGUUCAGCUCACAAGACUUGAAGCAACUCUGACCCAUCUCUAGGCCAUGAUUAUUUCUCUCUUUCUGAGCUCUUUAUCCA